AAGUCAUUUCAAAGAGGCUUUGUGGGGCUGUGAAACCAAAAGCUGUUAACGCUGUGACCUAAAAUUGAAGUUCUCACUAGGGUGAAGGUCAGUGAGAGAUGAAU
rnacentral:snoRNA from 1 species